CAGCCGGCAGACAGCCAAACACACAGAGGCAGACAGUUACAGUCACAUACAAGCAGACAGUCAAACACACAAAGACGGACAGUCACACACACAGUUACAGUCACAAACAGGCAGACAGUCACACACACACACACACAGUUACAGUCACAUACAGGCAGAUAGUCAAACAAACACACAGAGACAGACAGUCACUCACAAACACAGUUACAGUCACACACAGGCAGAAAGUCAAACAG